rnacentral:rRNA from 1 species
GACGAACGCUGGCGGCGUGCUUAACACAUGCAAGUCGAACGGAAAGGCCCUGCUUUUGUGGGGUGCUCGAGUGGCGAACGGGUGAGUAACACGUGAGUAACCUGCCCUUGACUUUGGGAUAACUUCAGGAAACUGGGGCUAAUACCGGAUAGGAGCUCCUUCUGCUUGGUGGGGGUUGGAAAGUUUCGGCGGUUGGGGAUGGACUCGCGGCUUAUCAGCUUGUUGGUGGGGUAGUGGCUUACCAAGGCUUUGACGGGUAGCCAGACUGAGAGGGUGACCGGCAAAAUGGGGACAGAGAAACGGCCAAGAGGCAAAAGGGAGGAAGAAGUGGGGAAAAUAGAACAAAGGGCGGAAGCCUGAUGGAGAAACGCGGCGUGCGGGAUGACGGCCUUCGGGUAGAAAACAGCUUUCGCCUGUGACGAAGCGUGAGUGACGGUAAUGGGUAAAGAAGCACCGGCUAACUACGU